CGAAGUGUUUGAACUCCGCUCGUAGAACAGAGGGAAAGAGGGACGCAGAGAGACAGGCGGAGGCAGCUCGAAAGGAGGAUGGAUGGAGAGCAGGCUAACCAAGACCGAUCCUUCUGGAUGCCCAGAGACCGACGGUAGCUGUUGAGGAAGACAAUUGGCAACAGGGGUGGAGUUUUCAAUCCUUAGUGGUGAACCCAGGAUGCCAUGCUUGGUAUCUGCACAGAGACCGGUCCCUACAUUACGGAUCUGCAAGAUUAAGUCACGGAUUAGCUUUGCAACGAAGUUUUGGACAUAUUGACUGCCAAGGAAACAGAAGCACUUGAGAUGCCAUCCCAUAGAAAAAGCUAGCAAUAAUGCAAAGCCACAAGCUACAAGAAAGCGUCCUUGCUAAGAACCCAAGAUUGAUGUCAUCCAGAUCAAAAGCUGACGGGCUAGCAUAAAAAUACAAUUUAAAAAAAAGUACCAAAGCCCCAAACAUCGAAAGAUGGGAGCAGUAUUGGCUGACCUGCACAACAUCUCAGAAAAUUAUCUUCAUCUUGGGGAUUAUAGAUCAACACAUUCUAUUAAUAUAAUAUAUAGAAACUUUUGACUACAUUUAAAAUAUCUGCCUGUUCGCUGGCUUAUAAAGUGGUUUAUAAACUAAAUUUGUGAAUUUAUGUCAAUGUGCUACAAAUAUCCUUCCCUCAUAUUUAACUAGCUCCACUCUGUGCCUUAACAGAAAAUCCUCAUGCUUUCAGCUGAUGAUGUGGCACUUUAAUAUAAAACUAAUUUCAAAAGGAG